GCUCGAGUGGUGGAAUGGUAUACACGGAGGAUUCAAAAUCCUCUGUCGCAAGACAUGUGGGUUCGAAUCCCACCUCGAGUA
rnacentral:tRNA from 1 species